ensembl:ncRNA F25H10.4 ncRNA
GAUGACCGAUGAAGUGGGUUCAUUGUGAAUGUUGGCGAGUUUGCAGACAAAUUAAAAAGUGGCAAAGUUUAGAGAAUGGGUUAGUUGGAACAUGUGGUUGCAAUAAAGGAUGCCGACUUGAGCAUUGUGGACAGAAGAUUUACGAC